CUGGAGUACUGUGGCGUGAUCUCUGCUCACUGCAACCUCCACCUUCUGGAUUCAAGCGAUUCUCCUGUCUCAGCCUCCUGAGCAGCUGGGAUUACAGGUGCAUGCCACCAAGCCCGGCUAAUUUUUGUAUUUUAGUGAAGACAGGGUUUCGUCACGUUGGCCAGGCUGGUCUCAAACUCCUGACCUCAGGUGAUCCUCUGGUGCAUGUUUUAAUGGGGCCAAAAGGAGAUGACACAAGGGCAAGGGGAACCAUAGGCAUCUGUGCAACUCCUGAGUUGCAUGAAAAGGAAGACAAGUUGAGACCCUGAGCUACCAUAGAAACAUAAACGCUGGUGAGAAAAUAAGAAACCCAAGGGGUUCCUGGAGAGGAAGAUACAUAUGUGAACCAUCCCAUGUGCCUCCACAACCCAGGGCAGUUAUCCUCCCUUUGGAAAAUAACCUCAGACUAAAACACCAUGAGGGAAGGCCAGCAAAUGAAACAAACAAGGGAUCCGUCAUCUCCAGAACUGAAGGAAGAUUGUCAUUUCGAGGAGUGAGUACUUGUUCAUACCGAAAACUGCAGAGAGGACAAGCAAGAUAACCGAAAAAAAUCCAAGAGUCCUUUGGAGGCAGCUAUACGGACUUAAAAGGGCAAAAACCAGUUUAGGAUGGGGUGAGUAGUGAGUUGAAACUGGGGAUCUGGGGACAGUCCCUGCAGAUGACUCUAGAGCAGGGGUAUGGCCUGUGGACUAUAUCCAUUCGUUUUUGACAUCCCUUUUUGCAAAAUGUUACUGGAACACAGCCACACCCAUUGACUCACAUAUUGCCUGUGGUGGCCUUCAUACUGCAUCGGUAAAGCUAAGUCGUUGAAGCAGGGAUCACAGGGCCCACAAG
rnacentral:lncRNA from 1 species